CAUGAAAAUAAAAUUUAAUAAACAGUGGCAGUGAUCGGAGCCCUAGAAAGUGCCGGCGAAGGGGAAUCAUCCACCGUCACCGUCACUGUCACUGGUACUCUCCACCCGUGUGAGCGAUCGUGUUCCAAUCUUAAUGAAUUAACGAUUUGAACUGUUCUUCCUUCUUCUCAAUUGCCUCAAUUAGUUUUAGUUUCCUCUCCAAUGUCUUUAUGAUUUUGCGAAUUCUACUUUCUUCUCGAAUAUGGAAAGUUUAGGUCUCUCAAUUACUUGUACAAAUCUUCAGUUUGUAUAAACGAGAUAGUAUUUAUAUCUUUGUGUUAUCGGUAUAUUCGAGAAAAUUGAGGUUCGUCCAUUUCUGUAUAGCCGCGAUUAUAUCUCUCUAAGGAUCGCGAUUCAAUCUCAUUCUACUUUUGAAGCUGAAUUUAGAAAAAUGAGUUAAUGAGGCUGCAAUAUUUGAAGAAUUUGAAUCUUGUUGGGAAGCUCUUCUGAAUAAAUAUUACAUUAUGGACAAUGAAUGGCUUCAGUUAAUGUAUAGUGCUAGACAACAGUGGGGGUACCUGUUUAUGUGGGAGACACUUUCUUUGGGAGUAAGUUUGAAUUUGUUUUUUUGAUGGAUAUGUUACUGCAUCCACCACGUUACAGAUGUUGGUUAAACAGUAUGAAAAGGGCCAUGGAAAAUUGGUAUGGAAAAGAAUUAAAAGCUGAUUAUGAUCCAACUAACUCUAUGCUAGUUUUGAGACAAUAGGCUGCAGAUCCAUAUUCAAGGAGGAUAUUCAGAAAGUUCCAGGAGGAAUUGGUAGAAACUCUUGCCAAUCCUGCAACCAAAAUUGAUGAUACAGGAACCAUGGCAAGUAGCGAAAUUUGGGGAAGAUCAUAAUGCACAUGCGGUACAAUAAUCCAAGCAAUCAAAUGUAACGGCUCAAGCCCACCGCUACCAGAUAUUGUCCGCUUUAGCCUGUUACGUAUUGUCGUCAGCUUCAUGGUUUUAAAACGCGUUUGUUUGGGAGAAGUUUCCACACUCUUAUAAGGAAUGCUUUGUUCUUCUCUCCAAUGUGGGAUCUCACAUCAAAUGUGUUGAGGGAUCUCGCAUCAAAUGUUUUGAGGAAGGAGUAAAGUCAAUUCAUACUCCUAACGUGGCUAUGGAUAUGGAUGCCUUAAAAGAGGCCUCCAGAAAGGUUGCUGCUGUGAAGAAUCGUGGCCCUAGAGCUUUGAAUGGUGAUAUCAUCGCCAAUGGAGUUGUUGAUCAAUGGUUGCAACAGAAGAAGAUCAGGUAGCAACCUAUGGAUCAGUGGAAUAGGAGAACAAAAUUCAUGAUCUUGGAAAAAACUGAUCAACGUUGUGAAGUGUAUAGAGCAAAUCUCGUGGCUGUUCUUAGGGACGUGGAAGAGUUGGUUUUCACACCCUUAUAAGGAAUGUUUCGUUCUCCUCUCCAAUAGAUGUAAGAUCUCAUAAUCCAUUCUCCUAGGGGCCAGUGUUAUCAUUGGAACACUGCCCGUUGUUUGACUGAUACCAUUUAUAACAGCUCAAACUCUCUGCUAUUAUU